GCUCAGAACGAACGCUGGCGGCGUGCCUAACACAUGCAAGUCGAGCGGCAGCGCGGGGCAACCUGGCGGCGAGUGGCGGACGGCUCAGCAAUAUUUGGGAAUCUGCCUAUUAGUGGGGGACAACCCGGGGAAACUCGGGCUAAUACCGCAUACGCACUACGGUGGAAAGCCGGGGAUCGCAAGACCUGGCGCUAAUAGAUGAGGGGGAAUCGGAUUAGCUAGUUGGCGAGGUAAUGGCUCAGCAAAGCGACGAUCCGUAGCUGGUUUGAGAGAACGACCAGCCACUCCUCUUCUGAGACACGAUCCGGACUCCUACGGGA
rnacentral:rRNA from 1 species